rnacentral:rRNA from 1 species
UUCGCCCUUAGAGUUUGAUCCUGGCUCAGAACGAACGCUGGCGGCAUGCCUAACACAUGCAAGUCGAACGAGAUCUUCGGGUCUAGUGGCGCACGGGUGCGUAACGCGUGGGAAUCUGCCCUUGGGUUCGGGAUAACCGUUGGAAACGACGGCUAAUACCGGAUGAUGACGUAAGUCCAAAGAUUUAUCGCCCAGGGAUGAGCCCGCGUAGGAUUAGCUAGUUGGUGGGGUAAAGGCCUACCAAGGCGACGAUCCUUAGCUGGUCUGAGAGGAUGAUCAGCCACACUGG